rnacentral:rRNA from 1 species
AGGACUAACGCUGGCGGCGUGCCUAACACAUGCAAGUCGAACGAAGUAGCAAUACUUAGUGGCAGACGGGUGAGUAACACGUAGUCAACCUGCCCUUCAAUGGGGGAUAACUAGCCGAAAGGUUAGCUAAUACCGCAUACGAUCUCUGAGUGGCAUCACUCGGCGAUGAAAGGAGUAAUCCGUUGAAGGAGGGGACUGCGUCCCAUUAGUUAGUUGGUGGGGUAAUGGCCUACCAAGACUCCGAUGGGUAGCUGGCUUGAGAGAGCGACCAGCCACACUGGAACUGAGACACGGUCCAGACUCCUACGGGAGGCAGCAGUGAGGAAUUUUCCGCAAUGGGGGAAACCCUGACGGAGCGACGCCGCGUGUGGGAAGAAGGCCUUGGGUCGUAAACCACUGUCGAGGGGGACGAUAUUGACGGUACCCCUGGAGGAAGCCCCGGCUAACUACGUGCCAGCAGCCGC